rnacentral:rRNA from 1 species
AUUGAACGCUGGCGGCAUGCUUUACACAUGCAAGUCGAACGGUAACAGGCCGCAAGGUGCUGACGAGUGGCGAACGGGUGAGUAAUGCAUCGGAACGUGCCCAGUCGUGGGGGACAACGCAGCGAAAGCUGCGCUAAUACCGCAUACGAUCUAUGGAUGAAAGCGGGGGACCGUAAGGCCUCGCGCGAUUGGAUCGGCCGAUGUCAGAUUAGGUAGUUGGUGGGGUAAAGGCUCACCAAGCCAACGAUCUGUAGCUGGUCUGAGAGGACGACCAGCCACACGGGGACGGAGACACGGCCCAUACUCCUACGGGAGGCAGCCGUGGGGAAUUUUGGACAAUGGGCGCAAGCCUGAUCCAGCAAUGCGGCGUGCAGGAAGAAGGCCUUCGGGUUGUAAACUGCUUUUGUACGGAACGAAACGGUCCUGGUUAAUACCUGGGGCUAAUGACGGUACCGUAAGAAUAAGCACCGGCUAACUACGUGCCAGCAGCCGCCGUAAAAC